GUUUCAAUGGUUGAUCACAAUCCUAUUCAAUUGUAUCUUUUGCCCUUCCUUGUUAUUUGUUGGAAACUGAAGUCAGAAAUAGCUUUCAGAAACCAAGUGCCUUGCUGCUAGGUGUCGGUGAUCAGGAAACCAUCUAUGGACUCAAAUUCCCUUUGGAGACUGCAUUCUUCAGACUAUUUGAAACCAGGUUGUCAACUCUGCUUUCACCUUGGACUGGUUGAAGUAUAGGACUUGGACGCUAGAAAUGCUGAUCCUAAAGGUGAUCAUUUACAUUUAUCAACUCCAGCUUGUACUCCACUUGCUGGAAGAUGAACUCAGUAGCAGAUCGACGAGUUCUCCAACAGUUUUCUGAGACCUAUCAUAUCCACAAACUCACAAUAAAGCAUCUCCCUGAUAUACGCUGUACCACAACAUCUUUAACAUAUAUGAACCUGAUAAUGAAGGCAGACAGCCAGUUGAU
rnacentral:misc_RNA from 1 species